AGUUCGGCUGGAUCGGUGACAGGUGCUGCAUGGCUGUCGUCAGCUCGUGUCGUGAGAUGUUGGGUUAAGUCCCGCAACGAGCGCAACCCUCGACCUUAGUUGCCAGCAUUCAGUUGGGCACUUUAAAGAGACGUGCCGGUGUUAAGCCGGAGGAAGGUGGGGAUGACGUCAAGUCCUCAUGGCCUUUAUGCCCAGGGCUACACACGUGCUACAAUGGGUGGUACAAAGAGAUGCCAACUCGCGAGAGCGCGCCAAUCUCAGAAAGCCAUCCUCAGUUCGGAUUGGAGUCUGCAACUCGACUCCAUGAAGUUGGAGUCGCUAGUAAUCGCGGAUCAGCACGCCGCGGUGAAUACGUUCCCGGGCCUU
rnacentral:rRNA from 1 species